CUUCGGCUCCUAAACUGCGGAGGCUGCAGGGAGUGGGACCAUAGCGUCCCGCUGAGGGGCGCCAGAGGCAACGGGGUCGCACGGGAAUAGCUGUUCCGCUCCUGCACCGGCCUCGACUUCAGACACUUAAACUUCAAGGUAGCUUCCUUUUAAGGUCCUAACUUCCUCAGCCACAACAGGCCUCCAGGCAAGACAGCGUUCAGCAGAAGUUAGCUGAGAGCCCAGUGCCUGGGAUGGGUUGUGUCCAGCAGGAACCUGUGCAUCAGAAUUGAAGAGAGGUUACAAGCCAUGCACAUAAGGAAUGGAUUUCACCAAUCAUUGGAACACCCCCUUUUCUGCAUACUCUGCACAGUAUGUCACUCAUGUACAGAACCUGUGAAGGCCCUGCUCAGAGCAGAAAGUGGCUCCCAAAUUCCUUGGCCAACUGAGUUCAGCUAGUGGAAAGGUGUUUGAAUGGUGAAGAAGGAUUGAGGGUCAUGAAGGAAACAUCACCAAAUCUUUAUCCUUUGUCUCCAAAUGAGGAGGUUAAAUUCUUGCUCAGAGUCUGAUUGCUCCCAUCUGGCACUGCCAGAGUGUGGGUGAGGGAGGCUGAACUGGGAGUUAAGUGAGGCCCUGCUACCUCCAGGCCCCUGCUCUGUGCACAGGUGCAGAACCUACUUAUGUGUCAGAUGGGCCUCAUGGACAAUGAGGUAUCCCCGUGGCCAGAGGUUGUGCUUUGGGCAUACAGGAUGCCCUGUAUGAAAUGCUAAUGACGUGGCUCAACAAAAUGGGGCAAGGUGCCUCAGUCAACAUCCCACUGGAUGCCUUGGAAAUGCUAGGGAAAAGAUAGGUGAAGGAGAGAAUUCAGGAGCACCUGGUGGGCUCUGGAAAGGGCAUCUAUGAAGAAGAUGGGACAGCUCUGCUAUCUCCUGAGUGGAAAGAAUCUUUUUAGGAAUCUGAGCUUCCCUGGUUUACCUUUCUUCUUGAAGGGGAAGCAUGAGUAGACACCAGCCUGGAAGAAAGAGUAGAUACUUGAUGAAUACUUGGAGAAAUUGUAAUUAAAAACAUACAGCUCUUGGAGUGUUCUAGAACUUUUUUUAAUGCACUUGGAAUAAUUUUUAUGAAAUGUUGGGUGUGAUAAGUGAAUUGUGGAAAAAUUCUAUAUGGAUUAUAGUUACAGUUAUUUUAUUGUGUUUCAUUUUAUUGCACAUCAAAGAUAUUGUACUUUUUACAAAUUAAAGGUUUGUGGAAACCCUGA